rnacentral:rRNA from 1 species
GGGGAAUAUUGCGCAAUGGGCGAAAGCCUGACGCAGCAACGCCGCGUGGGUGAUGGAGGCCUUCGGGUUGUAAAGCCCUGUCGGGUGGAACGAACAGGUCCUGAGGAGGGACUCUGACGGUACCAUCGGAGGAAGCACCGGCUAACUUCGUGCCAGCAGCCGCGGUAAUACGAAGGGUGCAAGCGUUGCUCGGAAUUAUUGGGCGUAAAGCGUACGCAGGCGGUCUCGCAAGUCGGGCGUGAAAGUCCGGGGCUCAACUCCGGGAAGUCGCACGAAACUAGGAGACUUGAGUUCGGGAGAGGGGUGUGGAAUUCCCAGUGUAGAAGUGAAAUUCGUAGAUAUUGGGAGGAACACCGGUGGCGAAGGCGACACCCUGGCCCGAAACUGACGCUCAUGUACGAAAGCGUGGGUAGCAAAC